CAGCAGCCGCGGGAAUACGUAGGUGGCGAGCGUUGUCCGGAAUUAUUGGGCGUAAAGGGAGUGUAGGCGGUCUUUUAAGUCUGAUGUGGAAGCCCACGGCUCAACCGUGGAGGGUCAUUGGAAACUGAGAGACUUGAGUGCAGAAGGGGAGAGCGGAAUUCCAUGUGUAGCGGUGAAAUGCGUAGAUAUAUGGAGGAACACCAGUGGCGAAGGCGGCUCUCUGGUCUGUAACUGACGCUGAGGCUCGAAAGCGUGGGGAGCAAACAGGAUUAGAUACCCGCGUAGUCCCUGUCUCUUAUAC
rnacentral:rRNA from 1 species